rnacentral:rRNA from 1 species
GAUGAACGCUAGCUACAGGCUUAACACAUGCAAGUCGAGGGGUAACGAGAGGAAAGCUUGCUUUCCUUGUCGACGACCGGCGCACGGGUGAGUAACACGUAUCCAACCUGCCCCCAACCAAGGAAUAACCUUGCGAAAGUAAGACUAAUACCUUAUAAUUUCCUCAGAUGUCAUCUGACGAGGAAUAAAGAUUUAUCGGUUGUGGAUGGGGAUGCGUCUGAUUAGCUUGUUGGCGGGGUAACGGCCCACCAAGGCAACGAUCAGUAGGGGUUCUGAGAGGAAGGUCCCCCACAUUGGAACUGAGACACGGUCCAAACUCCUACGGGAGGCAGCAGUGAGGAAUAUUGGUCAAUGGGCGGAAGCCUGAACCAGCCAAGUAGCGUGCAGGAUGACGGCCCUAUGGGUUGUAAACUGCUUUUAUACAGGAAUAAAGUUAGCCACGUGUGGUUAUUUGUAGGUACUGUAUGAAUAAGGACCGGCUAAUUCCGUGCCAGCCGCCGCGGUAA